GGGCGAAGGUGAAGAGAAGGCGCGUAAGGAAUCGUGGCCGUGGGCGUGGCGACGGAAGUGAACUCAUCAGAAUUCCUUGCUGUCUCAGGGACACUGCCAGAGUCCCUUCCUGGAAGUGGGAGGGCACUGCGUGCACCUCUCCUACAAAGUCAACGGCACCUAG